CGGCUGAGGUGACGAGGCGUGCACGCGAGCUUGUCUACGGAGACCGCGUGCGACAUCAAAUCACACCGUAAACACCAACAAGAUUACUCCGCCAGCCUUACAGUAGUUAGCGGAGGCAGUGACGAACUAGCUAACUUAACGACGAGGAGAAACUGUGCCCCCAAAAAACGUUCUCGUCCCAGUCGAUGUUGUAGGGGGAACACACUUCUUCAUCGGUAAUGUUAAUAGGUGUUAAAGACGGGAAGAAAAGAAGAACAAAAAUGGGGAAGAAGCGCGGAUUUGGAUGUUGUUGUUUUGAUGUUCCAUAUCCGUGACGUCACAUCCACCUGCUGGGUAAACGAGGCUCAAUGCAUAGCACACAGUUGAAGUACUAUUCAUAUGAUUAUUACAGGUAUUAAAAUCUACUUUGCUUGCCGCAGAGGGAAAUCGCCACUUGGUCUGAGAAGCACAUCCCAUUUAAUAAUGAAAUGUAUUUAUUCAUGGCUGCACCUGAGAGGGUUUGCUGCUGCAGAAUUAUUCCAGUUCCUUGGUAGACAGCGCCACCCUCUGAUCAAACACAGACAAAGCAUCAUAGUCAUGUUUGUGUGUUUCUGUGCUUUUCUUGACCAUCUGAAAAGAACCACUUGGACAAAUGUAAGUGGUCCAUCACUGUGUUAGGUAGCAGGUUACUUACCAGUUCGUGGUGGUUCACGGUGAGCUUAGAUUUUUUUCCAGAUCGGAACAUUUAAUGGCCAUGCAACCACCCCUUUGUAAAGUUUUGAUUUCACAUUUGAUGUAACCUUGACCUGAAAAAAGGUCAGUAGUACAAGAAAGCCAGAUAUUUACAAAGUACUGUAAAUUGGAUGGAUUAACUUUAACCUGGGUGCGCUAAAAUGUAGUCUUUCUACCACCUUCAUGCUGUAAUACAGUCACCUCGGUUUUCGUAUGCCCCGGGUCUCAUAUGAUUGGGUUUUCAUCAAACAUUUUCGCUCCAAAAGGUUUGUUUUUUGUACAAUCUCAGUUUGGUGAGACCGUUACUCACAUGGGGUGGCAAUAAAUAAUACCUGAAAUGCACCCAAAGAUAGCUGGGAUAGGCUCCAGCAUGCCUGCAACCCUUGUGAGGAUAAGCGGUACAGAAAAUGGAUGGAUGGACGUACAGUACAUAGUCAUGACCGGCUUGAUCGCCAUGUCAAUAAAGGAUCUUUCAGCUCAGCGGAGCCUAACAAGUAUCAAGUAUGUUGGUCUCAAUUUAUUAGCAUGCUCGGUUAGUGCCGCCAUGCUGCCGUGUUGCGUGGAUUGAGGGCACCACUUGAUUGGGUGUAGUCGCAAAUUAAUUGAGGAUCACUAUCAGUUAUGUGAUAGCCUCUCCAGGCACCAGCAUGCAGACAACAAGUAAUUAGCUCUGAGUUAAUUAGGUAAUUAAACAAAUGAAUAGGAGCUGGUCUUUAUUUGAAAGGGGUAGAAUGGCUUACACACAGCCCCCCCCCCCCCCCCCAGCAGAAAUCAUUCAACAAGCAAUGAAAGCAAAACAACUUCAUAAAAUAACUAAAAGUCAAGUGAGCUACAGAAAAAGAAACAGUACAUGGUUGAACAUAUCAGAGCCAUGGUGACACAAAGGGCGUAGGUCUGAAAUCAAGGCAUGCUGGGACAAAAUUCCACAACAACACUGUAGAACCGCCAAAGGUUUCUGGAAAAAUUUUCCUCGAAAGUCAAACAAAAGACAGCACAGUUAGUUCCAAAAGACAAAUUUUGUUUUUGACUUGUAUUUCCAUUCGUUAGCCAUCAUUAUGCAUAAUAAUGCUUAAUUUAGUCCAAGGAUACAUAAGAAUUGCUUCACUAUGCAUAUUUUUUUUAGUAAUAACACGCUGCAGGCAACCAAAAAAAUCACGUUAAUUUAUUAAUUUUUGAAAACCAGUAAAGCUUGAAGUAGCGAGGGACAACUGUAAAUAUAAUUAUGCUAUGUGUUUUCCUUUCUGUUAAUAAAGUAGUCUGCAACAGGCAGUGGAUGAAAAAUGCCCUUUGAUUUGCAGCAAGGAGUAUUUGGAGAUUUUUGUAAGAGUUCUGUGGUCAUACGAUCCAGGCCAAAGUCAAAGGUGAAUUUAUUGGAAGUGGAAACAAGUACAGACAAGUACAGAGCAAUGCCAGAAAAUGUGCCGUUUCGCUGUGACUCCAUUUGGGCAAGUGGAGGUCUCCUUUCAAAUGCGCUGUGAUUGGACAUUCAAAAAGUAAUAUACAUUAUCCUCAUUGCUGCUGCUUAUGGCUUUAUAAAGUGAGAGACGGUGUGACUGGACUGAUGUCAUUAAAGUGUUACCCUGUUCAUUUAACAUACAGCUAAUGACGAUGCAAAAAAAAACUAAAUGGGACAUUGACUCCACAAACACUCACAACUUACCAUACAAACCUUCUUUGGCACCUAACCAGCUGUAAUUUAUUUUAAAAAAUGGAUAUGAGUUGAUCGAAUUUAACAUUUCGUAAAGGUAAACAUAGAAGAUAAUACAGCAGCUACCUUCAGAAGACAAAGCAACUGUGAAAGUCAUGGUCCCUGCAGGAAACAGUGCCACGACAUUACAGCCAAUUAAAAACUACAGUGAACUAAUCAAGGCUGAAGACCGGGACGUACAUUCAGUGAAGGGUCGAAAUAAAACAAGGCAUCAGUCAUUCAAAAGUUAUAAAAAUAUACUGGUAACAUUUCCUCGGUGAAUGCAAAAUCAUAUCCUGGAUUCUGUUGUAGUCAAGGCAGGUACAGAGUUCAGAUUUUAAAAAUAAAAUAAAAUAAAAACUGAAAAAGUGCAUUCAUUAUCUAAUGUCUUGAACGGCCUCCUUCAAAGGCAUGAUGUUCCAUGUGAGCUGAAAGAGCAAAACAAGAGGAUUCAAGGUGAAUAAGAAGGUAUUUUCGGAGACAUUUUAUCUCUGGUUGUAGAUUACAGUUAUCCCUUGAAUAUUUUUGUAAAAACACGAUGGAGUGAAAACGUGAAAUUCAAAGCACGGGGUGGUGAGGGACAAGUAUCCCUAAUAAAAACAUCCACUACUGUUGCUGUAGUGACACACACCGAGUUAAAACUUAACACUUCCUGUCCGCCCGCCAUUCGGCCGUUCAAGUUGUACAUGAGUACAAGUCUUAUUUAUGUCUUAAAUGGUUUAUUUAGUCUUAUUAUGUCUACUAUAUUUGGUAAAACAAAUGUAAGGGUAACUAUAGGGGUGCUAGUCUAUGUCUAGUGGGCUCUAAUAAUGAUAAAUCCCAUAUUUUGACAGUUGCAAACAGGUUCAUCAUAAAUAGUUGCAGCUCUAGUAAUUAGUCCUGUAUAUUUUGUUCUGACCAACCGACUUAAUAGUGUAACGUGUAAUUUCAGAAAGGAAAAAAAGUAUACUUACAUUUAUAAAAAACUGCUUUAAAAGAUAUGUGCGGGAGGAGCUUGUGGAUUUUCCCCAAGAUACUUGCUUCAUUAGCAAGAGAUGCAUCUCUAUUCCAAACUUGUACAACAUCUUCACGGUCACGUACGCUUACACUGACGCCGACAACCUCAUCAUCUACAGGGGAGGGGGGGAGACAAAACAGAGCCAGAAAAGUAAGUCAAUGUAGCAGUAUCUAAAUAUAUUAGCUGUAUAACUGGAAAAAGUAGAGCACGAUACCUGAGGCACAGUAAUCUGCAAACUGUUCCCCGAUCGUAGCGAGUAACAAUUCUUUCCAAACUGCAGACUGAAACAAGAGGCAAAUACUUUCAGCAUGUGCAAUUGGAGAAGAAUAACACUACUACAACAUGAAGUGCUGAGCGUGGCCUAUUACGAUGUACAUCCCAACUUUAUUCCGCCUGUACCGUGAGAGUACGACACCUACUGUGCUUUCUUUGGGUACUUUCAUCUUCCACACGCCUCCUUUUGCAUUGCUUUCCUCUUCCCUGAGGAUCAACCAAAAGAUAAGAAUCAGUCUGGGGGGGAAAAUUGUAUCUUAAACUACAACAGAAUAGAUACAGUGGUGUCCCUGUUGUCCCCUUCCUGAUUUGUUACACUUAAAUGCUUCACAUCAACAAAUUUAAAUAUUAGUCAAUGACAAGAAAACUGAACACAAAAUGCAAUUUUUAAAUGAAACGUUUUAUUAUUAGGAGAGAAGAAAAUACAUGUGUGUAUAAUGGAGCUCGCUGUGGUUUGCUGGAGUCCUAAAGCUUUAGAAAUAGCUUUAUAGCCUUUUCCAAACUGAUAGAUCUCAAUUGAUUAAUGUUUUAUUACUUUAUCACACAGGGCCAUGUUCAAUAUUAUGGAAAUUUGAUUCCAGUGGUUCAAUUCAAAAAAUUAAACUCAUAUCGACUAACUGGACUGGAAAUAUAUAAUAGAAACCCCAAAUGCAAUAUCGGAAACUACUGGUAUUGGACCUUAAUCAGCAAAUUCAACAAUGAAAGCUCUCCAAAAAUGUUUGUUUCUAAUUUAUUGAUGUCCACCUGUAUAAUAACUUGCUCUGAGUCAAAAAUCACCACCCACGUACCAGAGUGGCCUCCGUUCUCCACGCAUUAGGUGAUAGCUGCACCUCAAAGGCAGCGCUGUGACUGGAGGGAUGUUGUUGUAUACGCUCCAGAACAGCUGCAAACAACAAAGGAAACUCAUUCUUAGUACACUGUGCACAGAUGUAUUAGUUAUGAUGCAGAUGUCUUUGUUAUAACAGAAAAUGUGAUAGCAAUGCGGCUCUACUACUCCAUCAUAGCUAGGUAUCAAUGAAGCUCUUUUCAUGUGAAGGACAACUCAAGGACAUGUUGGAUCUCUGACGAUGACGCGGACAUCAGUUCUCACCUGAACAGUUUGCACUGUGUAGAUCUUCUUCAGAUUGGACUCACAUUCUGCAGCCGUUGUGCCUGGCAAUGACCUACACGAAGAAAGUAAAUGUCAGGCUCUUCACUCCGUCUUUGUUUCAGCUGACAACAAGUUCUUUAACCCCAACUUGAUGCGGUGUUGUCGCGGUAAAGAUGUUAAUCUGUUCCAAAAGGGUCAAUUUAUUGCCUUGCAAGCAUGACUAAACAUCCAACGAGAUAGCUGGGCCUACUUAAAUCCGGUUAUGAACAAGAUCUUGCUGAAACAUUCAUUGCAGAAGCUUGUGGAAAAACAAUUCCACAGCAAAUGCACGUCGUAAUCAAAGCUAAAAGCGGUCCAAUGAAAUG